rnacentral:tRNA from 1 species
GGUGCUGCUGGAGGACGGCAGCUACGGACGGGCCGCCGUCCCGUCCGGCGCGUCGACCGGUGAGUUCGAGGCCGUCGAGCGCCGC